rnacentral:rRNA from 1 species
AUUGAACGCUGGCGGCAUGCCUUACACAUGCAAGUCGAACGGUAACGGGCCUUCGGGUGCCGACGAGUGGCGAACGGGUGAGUAAUGUAUCGGAACGUACCUUUCAGUGGGGGAUAACGUAGCGAAAGUUACGCUAAUACCGCAUAUUCUGUGAGCAGGAAAGCAGGGGAUCGCAAGACCUUGCGCUGAUUGAGCGGCCGAUAUCAGAUUAGCUGGUUGGUGAGGUAAAGGCUCACCAAGGCGACGAUCUGUAGCGGGGCUGAGAGGAUGAUCCGCCACACGGGAACGGGGGCACGGUCCAGACUCCUACGGGAGGCAGCAGUGGGGAAUUUUGGACAAUGGGGGCAACCCUGAUCCAGCCAUGCCGCGUGAGUGAAGAAGGCCUUCGGGUUGUAAAGCUCUUUCGGCCGGGAAGAAAUCGUAUCAGCUAAUACCUGGUGCGGAUGACGGUACCGGCAUAAGAAGCACCGGCUAACUACGUGCCAGCCGCCGCUGUAAAAC